AGCGCUCGUGUGUGUUUUUGUCUAACUUGUGGACUAAGACCUAGGAACAGGUGCAAAAAAUAAAUCUGCAAGCCCGGACUCAUGGCUCGGCAGGAGUUCGGAUGCACUGAGGAAGGAUCACA
rnacentral:snoRNA from 1 species